CUUCAACCUACGAGAGAAGAUAUUCUCACUGUGAUACUGACUUGUUACCAUGGAAACGUCAGCUUGUCAAUAAGCGGUUGGAGGUCACAUGAGGGAGUUUAAAAAGAUCAAGCCAAAGAUGAGUCCAGCUACAGUGAUGGUCACACCGAUUGAAGCACUUAGGAUUGCCAUGAAAGUAACACUGAAGAUGAAUCGCUCCACUAAAAUGUCUGUAAAUACAAGAAAUGUUUGAUCAAUGACGUUGGUAUUUACUCACUUUGUAGAGAAAUAUUAUAAUUUUGAUAUUUUGUAAGAUUAUAUUGUUUGCUAAUUAAAAACACUGCUGCUACUCACUAAAACACAACUUCUAUGAUCACAGAUGUUAAAUAAACUCUACACUCUCUGGUCUCUG